AUACUACAACAUUUGUCUUAGGAGCCUUGAAAACUCCUAACAUCACCAACUAAACAGUUUACUAGCUACACAUAAAGCUAACAGAGGGAUCGAGUAAUGAGUUUUCGAGCUAAACAGAAAACAAGAUAAGCAACACCAAACCAUACAGAUACGUUUUGUAUAAAACAAACACAUAUAAACCCGAGUAAAAGAAAAAAAAUCGACGUUGAAAUCGAUUGAAAACAAAAUGGUGUUUCCAAACCGUAAGAACAAACAAGAAGAUCCCUAAAUCGAUUGAAACCGAUAACGUAUUGAAACCCUAACUACAAACCAAAAGAUCCCCAAAGCAACUGAAAACCCUAACUACAAACCAAAAGAUCCCCAAAGCAAUUGAAAACCCGGAAGCAUAGAGGGAGACGAGAACAACAAGGAACCUAAUCUAAUCCUUAAAUCUACCACAGAAAAACGAAGCAUCGAGCUACGAUUCAAACGGAAAAAUGAAGCAUAGAGGGAGACGAGAACAACAAGGAACCUAAUCUAAUCCUUAAAUCUACCACAGAAGAAUAUGAUUUACCUUUGAAGAUCACGGAAGAACACGAUCUACGACGGAUCGAAAUCGCCUUUACGUCUCGAGCUCUGAUUUUUUUUUCUCGCCUUCGGUCCCGAAUGAAUUUUUUUUUUCGCAAAACCAAACACAAUAGCUCACCGAGUCUAUCCUCCUCCGACACUUGCACUAAGGAUCAAGUCCUUCAUAUCUUUAUUUACGGACUGAUCCGUUGUUAUGUUAGCCAAAAUAUUAUUAUUAUAUUUCAUUAAUCAUAUGAUUACCUUCUAAGGACUCUUCUUGGACCGCUGUUGCGGAUGGUCUUAGUUCAUCUCUUGUGACCUUCAGCUUAUCGGUUUAAUAUUUGGUACUUGGGUCAUUGGCUUAUAGCCUUAUAUAUUGAUAUUACUUCAAUUUUACGGGAGAAAACGCAUUGCGAGAGCUUGCUAUAUGGGCUUUUAAGAAUCGCCUACGUUUUGCACUACUGAAUCGACCGGGCCAACCCACAAAUUAUAUAGUCCAAGAUUUAAUUUAAAGAAACUUUUUAAAUUAAGCAAAGUGCAUGUGUAGAGGCUAUGUGCCACGUACAUAUAAAAUGCGAUUAGAAGUCCACGCAUGUCUUGAACGUGGUGCUGAGAUUUGCGCGGAGGCAGACGUACUAGAUUUUUUUCCAAAUAGGGUCAAUUUUACACACAGACGGUGAUUGCCUCCGUUGCAAGUCUUGAAAUCAUUCGUCGGGGGUAUGGAAUUUCUUCAGACGGUGAUUGCCUCCGUUGCAAGUCUUGAAAUCAUUCGUCGGGGGUAUGGAAUUUCUUCAGACGGUGAUUGCCUCCGUUGCAAGUCUUGAAAUCAUUCGUAGGGGGUAUGGAAUUUCUUCAGGUUAUUUAUUAGACAUUAAUUUACUCAUGUUUUCUCAAUUUACUGUUUACCCAUUAGACUUUUAAUUUUCAACUAUCCUGGAUUGGUUAACGUUCGUUAAAACAGGUUGGAAAACGAAACAUUUAAACAAUGUUGAAAACUUUAGAGCUUUUAGGCGGUUUUAUUACGUAUAUAUAACUACGACUACGGACCAAUAAAUGUUUGUUGAAGACAUCAUAACCAUUCUUACGUGGCCCUAUGAUCUAAUCAAUUUUAGUAUGAUAGAGCCCAUGUGCAUUGUGAAAAGGACACUAGUCAAAUCAUGGUCAUAUCUACAUAAGUCAUAUGUUCAAAGAUUUGUCACGAACUCGUCAACAAAUUCAACCGUGGUAUUCGUAUGAAUAUUUAUAAAAAUUUUUUAAUGUUCAUAUAUCCCAUCUAUUUUAUUUUUUCAAUAUAAGUACCUAUCGAUCGAGUCAUACUAUGUGUACUGAAAUAACACUUUCUUAUAUUUUGUCAUCGUUUACAACAGUUACUUCUUCUCAACUUUUAUGAAUUAAUUGAAAAAGAAAACUACGCGGGAUGGUCAUGGCUUGUUUUUUAAUAAGCAUUCUUUUAAAAGAGCUAGAAAAUUCCUGAAGAGAAAGAUGACAAAGAUUAAUACCAUAGACCUAUAAUAAGCUUUUUGAUGGAAUUUAUUCCCUAUAAACUAAUAGAAAAGAGAAAGCUUAUAAAACAAAGCUGAAUUGAAAGCCAUUCAAAAGUUAAUCCAAAAUUAAGAAACAUAAUAAAACAAAAAGUAGACGUAUAAAGUGGGAUUCACACACGUCAAAAUUCCCAAAGCCCUAAUAAUUAAAUCUAAUUACAUAACGUACGGAAUCACUUAUUUUUUCAACACGUACUGGAAUAACUUUAACAAUAUCAAAAUAUUAUUUGAUUGGACAAAAAGUUAUAACAAACUUUUAGGGUGCACGAAAAUCAUGCUUUUGAAUUAGUUUCAAAUAGUUACUAUUAGAUCUUUGGACACAAAUUACAAUGAAGGUUAAAACAUUCAUCAAAAACAUAGACAUCAACAAAUAUAUUCGAUAUAAAUUCCUUUCAAAUUCUAUACACACAAAUAACUUUUGUUUAAUUUUGUCAAAAAAAUAAUAACUUUUGUUAAUUUGAUUUUGAUCAUAACAAUUUUUAUUUACCAAUAUUAAAUUAUAGAAUAAUUAUAGAAAAUUUUGACGGUUAUUCUUUGUAAGAACGUAAUACAACUUUGUUGAACCUCCAUCACUUGAAAACCAAUAAUAACAAUCAAACGUUUGAACUCACAAUAGACAUGAAUUGCCAAGAAUUUCAAUCUGAAUUUCUACGAAACAAAAAAGCUAUAUUGCAAUAGAAAUCGACGUAUUUGACAAGAUCAUAUAUUAGAUCGCUAUGAUAAUAUAUUUUCUUCAUAACUAUCGCGGGUUGAACACAAUCAACAUGAACGAGAAAUUGGUUGCAAAGGACAAAUGAUACAAAGAGGGAUCCGAUGUUUUGUUUCCACGUUGUAAUGAUAUAUAAUAUCGGAAUAUUAGAUACUACAUAUCAUAUCAAUCAACUCAUUGCUAAUAUGGUUGAAGGAUCCUACUCAAUACACAAAUAUCCUACUCAUUGUCAAGCUUAUCGUUCAAACUGUUAUCUACACUAUUUGGAAGGAGAGAAACUCUCGACUGCAUAUGAAUUUAUGCAGACCUCCUCAGGCAAUUAUUCAGGAUGUCAAACAGACUUUGAGAUUGAGGUUUGACCCGCUGUCUCGGAACAUGAGGAUCACCAGUAGCUCCUCUCUUACUUUUUUGGGAACUUGGUUAAAUCUUUUUUGAGGGCAUUGUUAAUUCCUUUGUAUAGUCUGGUCUCUAGAUUUUCUUUAUUAAAGGUAGGUGGUUUCUGUACGUUUCCUGUCUAUGAAAUAAAAGUAGUUUUUAUUAUAAAUAAAAAACUCAUCGCUAAUAAUUUUCAUUUGGAAACUAACAGAUAACAGCUUUCAAAUACUCAUAAUAGAAUUGGAUGAUACGAUAAGAGUAUCCGAAUACCUGCCCACCGAGAAUCCGACAAAAUCGGGAAGGUCAAAGUGGAUGUUUAUGUUAUCAUUGAUACAAAGAAAGGCUCGAGAACUAGACUUAUCAACAAGUCGCUAAGAAACAAAUCAUUAAUCAUUCUACUGCCACAGCCAAUCACAAUUUUUUACUUUUCCAGAAAAGAAAAGCAGGAGACCUGUCCAGUGGUAAUUUUUUUUAUCUGUGUAAAAGCAGAUGAUCUUCAUGUCCUUCUACCCUUUCAAUUUUUGAUACAGUUCACGGAUUCCACCCCUUUUUUAUCUAAUAGAAUUUUUUAGUAAAAUUAAAUUAAUUCUGAAAAUAUUAAUUCACCACUUAUAAAUAAAGAGAGUAAGAACAUAACUAGUUCCAUACUUCGAUUAAAAGAGGUUCUAGGCAACAACAAAAAAUAUGAUUUUGUAUUAUAAUCUUCUAACAACAUUAGAGAUAAUAUUGCAGAAAUGUUAUGGGCAAAUCAAAAUACUUUUCAUUAAAUUAUUUUAUAUUUGUUAUGUAUUGUUAUAUAUUGUGUGUUUUGAAAUUUUAGUAUAACUUUUAUUAUAAAAAUAUAUGAUCUGCAACGCUUGAACUGCUUUUGUCAUUCAUAUUAUUUGAUCUGCUUGAUCCGCAACUCUCCUGCAUAAUCCAUUUGAUCUGUAUUUGUUCUGCUCGAUCUGCACCGCUUGAACUGAUUUUCCAAUUUGGAACCUCAGAUCUCUAUCACUUUUAUUUUAUCAUAGGCAAAUAGCCAAAUACAAGUCAGUUCAAA